ACCUUUUGGAAGAAGUCGGCGAAGGUGGAAUCAAUAACUGGGGUGAAGUCGUAACAAGGUAGCCGUAUCGGAAGGUGCGGCUGGAUCACCUCCUUUCUAAGGAGA
rnacentral:rRNA from 1 species